AGCUGAUCACUGGGCGUAAAGUGUGCGCAGGCGGUCUUGUAAGACAGAGGUGAAAUCCCCGGGCUCAACCUGGGAACUGCCUUUGUGACUGCAAGGCUGGAGUGCGGCAGAGGGGGAUGGAAUUCCGCGUGUAGCAGUGAAAUGCGUAGAUAUGCGGAGGAACACCGAUGGCGAAGGCAAUCCCCUGGGCCUGCACUGACGCUCAUGCACGAAAGCGUGGGGAGCAAACA
rnacentral:rRNA from 1 species